UGUUUGCCUCUGGAAACUGAAAGCAAAACAGAAUCAGAGGAUGCACUUCACUUAUUCGUGAACAACUCAACUAAGAAUGUCAACUAUCACAUAUCGUCAGUAGCGUCUGAACUUGAAGACGUCGAUGGAGAAAUCGCUAAAGCACUGGACACUAUAUUACCUUACAUCAAUUUUUGGUUUGAGGUUCUUUCGGGACAGUCUGGUGAAUCAUCUCCAAAUGGUGAUGAGUGUUUGAACGACAUGAUUAUCCAACUUGUACCUGACAAUAGUGCCUCUUCUGUCGCUGCUUAGUAACAAGUUGUAAUUGGGACGCAAUCAAAUCCAAAGCAAAAUGAACGACAAAUGUAAUGAUAAUAAAACAAGUGUAUUUUAGCGGAGUGACAAAACGAAUACUAUUAAAACAACUGAUAAACAAUGAAUACGUGAUUCCGGACUGUACGUGCUCAUGACAUCGUUCGCAAUACGAAAUAACUGUUAAAAUAAUUCCGAGAUAAAUAAAAGAUGUUAUGAAUGAAAA